UACGUAGGGUGCGAGCGUUGCCCGGAUUUAUUGGGCGUAAAGGGCGCGCAGGCGGCUACGCACGUCCGUUGUGAAAUCGCUCGGCUCAACUGGGCGGGGUCAGCGGAUACGGCGUAGCUGGAGCAAGCUAGGGGGCAAUGGAAUUCCCGGUGUAGUGGUGGAAUGCGUAGAUAUCGGGAGAAACACCUGUGGCGAAGGCGGCCCCCUGGUUGGAUACUGACGCUGAGACGCGAAAGCGUGGGGAGCAAACAGG
rnacentral:rRNA from 1 species